rnacentral:lncRNA from 1 species
CAGUGUUGGUGACUUCCUCCCAUUCUGCUUUCUUCCUACUUGCAUCACGUUUGUCAAUAACAUAAUGGGUGAUUUCACUGCCACCAUUAUCAAGAGGGGCAUCCCAUGUCAAGUAGCAAGAUUCAGCUUUAAUGUCAGUAACAGCAAGAUUUCUUGGUGGGGAUGGGCGGUCUGGAAAGGAAUCAACAGAGAAUAUUGAGAAGGCAAUUCUUAAACAGACACUGGAUGCCUUUUUGAUGUAAGAAAGCAAGUCACUUACCAUAUACUUCAACGUGAACAUUUCGGAACACUGAGCCA